rnacentral:rRNA from 1 species
UGGGGAAUAUUGGACAAUGGGCGGAAGCCUGAUCCAGCAACGCCGCGUGAGGGAUGACGGCCUUCGGGUUGUAAAGCUCUUUUACCCGGGAUGAUAAUGACAGUACCGGGAGAAUAAGCCCCGGCUAACUUCGUGCCAGCAGCCGCGGUAAUACGAAGGGGGCGAGCGUUGUUCGGAAUUACUGGGCGUAAAGGGCGCGUAGGCGGCGACCCAAGUCAAAUGUGAAAGUCCUGGGCUUAACCUGGGGACUGCAUUUGAUACUGGGUUGCUUGAAUUCGGGAGAGGAUAGCGGAAUUCCCAGUGUAGAGGUGAAAUUCGUAGAUAUUGGGAAGAACACCGGUGGCGAAGGCGGCUAUCUGGACCGACAUUGACGCUGAGGCGCGAAAGCGUGGGGAGCAAA